GUGCAGAAUCAGCACAGAAAACCUUUGCAUUUGCUUGUUUGCAAAAAUUGAAAUGGAACAUGAGAAACAAUAUACAAGACAUCUAAAUCCAGCAUUUGAGGUAAACCUACUUAAAGAAUUUGAACUUUUAGUUUUCCUUACAGAAGAGUAAAUAAGGAAACUAGUUGGGGGGAUCUGAUGAAAUGAGUGGAGAAAUUUUAGAUAAAACUGAGUGCUUCAGAUGAAGAGAAGGGUUAAAGUUGGUGUCCAUUCAAGAAAACAGUCUCUCUGUGUGUAUGUAUAUAUGUGUGCUUGUAUAUAUGUGUGUGUAUAUAUGUGUGUGACCGUGUGUUUGUGUCCUCUGCUCUGCUCUGCUCUGCUCUGCUCUGCUCUGCUCUCCCACCUACUUCCCCACCCCUCUUUUUCUGGCACUCCCUCCUUUCAAAAUGUAAUUGAAAGAAGAACCACAAACUCUAAACCUAGCCUUCACAAAGCAAGGACGCAAUGCUAAGCGGGUGAGCAGAGAAGAAACCUGCUGAAGAGAAAGCAGAAGCUUCACUGUUUUCUACUUUACAGUUUUGUUACCUUAAGGUUGAAGAAAGGUUGAAAACUUUGGUUUUCUGAAAUUUUUGUUCUUUGUGUAUUUGUACAUGUGUACAGUUAAUCUCUAACAAAAGCCAGAUGAAGUAAAAUUAUUCAUUCUGCUUUUUAAAAGUCACUUUCUUUGACUUUCUAAGAAAGAAAGCUUACUCUAUUGCUUAUGUAUUACAUGGUUUUCUUAAAGUAGAGGUGUUUCUACUUUGUCCAUCAAGUUGUAAUAAUAAUAAGCUGUUUGCUCAUGGAAAUAAUAUACUUAAACUGGUGAGUUACAAAGCCGUCUACAGCCAUACCACCCUGAAUUUCCCCAGUCUUUGAUUUUGGAAGAACGGUCAGGCCUGUGAGAGACCAGCCUUCCAGAAUCCAUUCCUUUUUAGAAUUUGUGUUAGUAUUGGUGGUAUUUUACUACUGUCGUGUGUUAACGUUUCUGUUUUCUCCAAUGAAAAUGUAUGAAGCCGCUUAGACUUUUUUGUUAAAUCUAAUUUGCAGUGUAUUUUUGUAUUUUCUAGUUCUGAAAGUGGAAAAUUGGUGUAUAAUAAAUUAGAUGAUAUAUACUUUUAAAAUGUUCUUGAAAAGGGCUGAUAGAAAUCGGUCUAUAUUCUGAAAAAUGUUUAUAUUAAAGUGUUUUAAUUUCU
rnacentral:lncRNA from 1 species